AAGUCGUAACAAGGUUUGCAUACUUGUAUUGAUUUUGAUAGAUCCUUCCGUCUCAGGACAGAGGAUUCUCUAUGAAUCUCAACACUCGGAAGCCUUAGCAGCCCUGAAACAUGGGUAGGGAUAACGACUCCUAAACAAAUAUCACCUCAAGUGCUAGUCCCUACUCACUCGCAAGAGUGCGGUAGACAAUACCCUGAUCUAGUAGUUACUAGACGUCUCUCCGUCACACUUCACGGUGCUGUGGAUGGGAUGCUCUAGUGGCGAACUAUUCACCAAUUUUUAACCCUACAACUAAUCACUUGUCUAAUCUUCAUAACCUUAUGCGACUCGCUCUUCACGGAGUGUGGUUAACUAAGAUUUACGAAAUAUUGAACAACUCUUAGCAAUGGAUAUCUUGGGUCAU
rnacentral:misc_RNA from 1 species